UACGGAGGGGGCUAGCGUUGUUCGGAUUUACUGGGCGUAAAGGGCGCGUAGGCGGCACCGCAAGUCGACUGUGAAAUCUCCGGGCUUAACCCGGAAAGGUCAGCCGAUACUGCGGGGCUAGAGUGCAGAAGGGGCAACUGGAAUUCUCGGUGUAGCGGUGAAAUGCGUAGAUAUCGAGAGGAACACCUGCGGCGAAGGCGGGUUGCUGGGCUGACACUGACGCUGAUGCGCGAAAGCUAGGGGAGCGAACAGG
rnacentral:rRNA from 1 species